ensembl:rRNA 5S_rRNA 5S ribosomal RNA
AUUUAUGAACAAACCUCACUGACUGCGCCUGAUUCCAUCUGAUCUCUGAAGGUCAGCAGAGAUGAGUCUUGUCGCUGCUCGGAUGAAAGACCAGUUUGGAUUACCAUGUUGGCACACUGUAAGUU